rnacentral:rRNA from 1 species
ACGGGUGAGUAAUGUCUGGGGAUCUGCCCGAUAGAGGGGGAUAACCACUGGAAACGGUGGCUAAUACCGCAUAACGUCGCAAGACCAAAGAGGGGGACCUUCGGGCCUCUCACUAUCGGAUGAACCCAGAUGGGAUUAGCUAGUAGGCGGGGUAAUGGCCCACCUAGGCGACGAUCCCUAGCUGGUCUGAGAGGAUGACCAGCCACACUGGAACUGAGACACGGUCCAGACUCCUACGGGAGGCAGCAGUGGGGAAUAUUGCACAAUGGGCGCAAGCCUGAUGCAGCCAUGCCGCGUGUAUGAAGAAGGCCUUCGGGUUGUAAAGUACUUUCAGCGGGGAGGAAGGCGGUAAGGUUAAUAACCUUGCCGAUUGACGUUACCCGCAGAAGAAGCACCGGCUAACUCCGUGCCAGCAGCCGCGGUAAUACGGAGGGUGCAAGCGUUAAUCGGAAUUACUGGGCGUAAAGCGCACGCAGGCGGUCUGUUAAGUCAGAUGUGAAAUCCCCGGGCUUAACCUGGGAACUGCAUUUGAAACUGGCAGGCUUGAGUCUCGUAGAGGGGGGUAGAAUUCCAGGUGUAGC